GAUGAACGCUAGCGACAGGCCUAACACAUGCAAGUCGAGGGGUAGCACAGGAUAGCUUGCUAUUUGGGUGACGACCGGCGCACGGGUGAGUAACGCGUAUGCAACCUGCCUAUAAGAGGGGGAUAGCCUUUCGAAAGAAAGAUUAAUACCGCAUAAUACUAUUUACCUGCAUAGGUAAAUAGUUAAACUAUUUGGCUUAUAGAUGGGCAUGCGUUCCAUUAGAUAGUUGGUGAGGUAACGGCUCACCAAGUCAGCGAUGGAUAGGGGUUCUGAGAGGAAGGUCCCCCACACUGGUACUGAGACACGGACCAGACUCCUACGGGAGGCAGCAGUGAGGAAUAUUGGUCAAUGGGCGAGAGCCUGAACCAGCCAAGUCGCGUGAAGGAUGAAGGUCUUAUGGAUUGUAAACUUCUUUUAUAAGGGAAUAAAAAAGAUCACGUGUGGUCUAUUGCAUGUACCUUAUGAAUAAGCAUCGGCUAACUCCGUGCCAGCAGCCGCGGUAAUACGGAGGAUGCGAGCGUUAUCCGGAUUUAUUGGGUUUAAAGGGUGCGUAGGCGGUUUAUUAAGUCAGUGGUGAAAGUUUUCGGCUCNACCGUAAAAUUGCCAUUGAAACUGGCGAACUUGAGUACAGUANAGGUAGGCGGAAUUCGUGGUGUAGCGGUGAAAUGCUUAGAUAUCACGAANA
rnacentral:rRNA from 1 species